UUGAACGCUGGCGGCAUGCUUUACACAUGCAAGUCGAACGGCAGCGGGGGCUUCGGCCUGCCGGCGAGUGGCGAACGGGUGAGUAAUAUAUCGGAACAUAUCCUGUCGUGGGGGAUAACUAAUCGAAAGGUUAGCUAAUACCGCAUACGACCUGAGGGAGAAAGCGGGGGCUCGCAAGACCUCGCGCGAUUGGAGUGGCCGAUAUCUGAUUAGCUAGAUGGUGAGGUAAAGGCUCACCAUGGCGACGAUCAGUAGCUGGUCUGAGAGGAUGAUCAGCCACACUGGGACUGAGACACGGCCCAGACUCCUACGGGAGGCAGCAGUGGGGAAUUUUGGACAAUGGGCGCAAGCCUGAUCCAGCCAUGCCGCGUGAGUGAAGAAGGCCUUCGGGUUGUAAAGCUCUUUCAGACGGAAAGAAAUCGGGCGGGUGAAUAGCCUGCCUGGAUGACGGUACUGUCAGAAGAAGCACCGGCUAACUACGU
rnacentral:rRNA from 1 species